rnacentral:rRNA from 1 species
UGGGGAAUUUUGCGCAAUGGACGAAAGUCUGACGCAGCGACGCCGCGUGGGUGAUGAAGGCCUUCGGGUUGUAAAGCCCUGUGGGGCGGGAAGAAUAAGUGGUGACUAAUACUCGCCAUGAUGACGGUACCGCCUUAGCAAGCACCGGCUAACUCUGUGCCAGCAGCCGCGGUAAGACAGAGGGUGCAAACGUUGUUCGGAAUUACUGGGCGUAAAGCGCGUGUAGGCGGCUUAGCAAGUCGGCUGUGAAAGCCCUUGGCUCAACCAAGGAAGUGCACUCGAAACUGCUAAGCUUGAGUCUCGGAGAGGAUGGUGGAAUUCUCGGUGUAGAGGUGAAAUUCGUAGAUAUCGAGAGGAACACCAGUGGCGAAGGCGGCCAUCUGGACGAUGACUGACGCUGAGACGCGAAAGCAUGGGGAGCAAACAGG